rnacentral:rRNA from 1 species
GACGAACGCUGGCGGCGUGCUUAACACAUGCAAGUCGAACGGAAAGGCCUGCUUUCCCUUGUGGAUUGCGGGUACUCGAGUGGCGAACGGGUGAGUAACACGUGAGUGAUCUGCCCCCAACUUGGGUAUAAGCCUGGGAAACUGGGUCUAAUUCCCGAUAGGACUGCAGGGUGGUGCCGGUGGUGGAAAACGAUUUUCUAGUGGUUGGGGAUGAGCUCGCGGCCUAUCAGCUUGUUGGUGGGGUAAUGGCCUACCAAGGCGGCGACGGGUAGCCGGCCUGGGAGGGUGGACGGCCACAUUGGGACUGAGAUACGGCCCAGACUCCUACGGGAGGCAGCAGUGGGGAAUAUUGCACAAUGGGCGGAAGCCUGAUGCAGCGACGCCGCGUGGGGGAUGACGGCCUUCGGGUUGUAAACUCCUUUCGACCGCGAGGAAGCCACCUGGUUGGAAGGGUGGUGACGGUAGUGGUAGAAGAAGCACCGGCUAACUACGUG